UACGUAGGGGCCUAGCGUUGUCCGGAUUUAUUGGGCGUAAAGAGCGUGUAGGCGGCCUGGUAAGUCCGCUGUGAAAGUCCAGGGCUCAACCCUGGAAAGCCGGUGGAUACUGUCGGGCUAGAGUCCGGAAGAGGCGAGUGGAAUUCCUGGUGUAGCGGUGGAAUGCGCAGAUAUCAGGAGGAACACCGAUGGCGAAGGCAGCUCGCUGGGACGGUACUGACGCUGAGGCGCGAAAGCGUGGGGAGCGAACAGG
rnacentral:rRNA from 1 species